rnacentral:lncRNA from 10 species
AUAGCAUCUGCACAUCAGAAAGGGCUGGAUGGAUCAAAACAAGGAUCGCAGGAGAGGAACUGCAAGGCACUGAGCGGCCACUCUAAGUCCCAGGGACCUCGAAGUCUUUAUCCUGCUGAAUGCUCACAAACCACCUCUGAGGCAGGACCGGUCUCCUCACUUCACACGUGAGAGAGUCAACAUUCAGAAAAGUCAGUGCUGAAGCCUGAAGUCACAGGUUGGGUGGACAAUGGAGCCAGGCUUUUCCCAGAUCUCGCUGAAUAAACUGCUCACGGGCUUUCUAUUCUACUGUAUGUUGCUGAGAUGACCGUCCCAGAAUGGCCCCACCCUUGCUAAACUGGGAGCUGCCUGGAACUAAGGCAGAAAUUCCACUCCAGUAGCCUCCUC